rnacentral:rRNA from 1 species
UACGUAGGCAGCAAGCGUUGUUCGGAGUUACUGGGCGUAAAGGGUGUGUAGGCGGUUCUUUAAGUUUGGUGUGAAAUCUCCCGGCUCAACCGGGAGGGUGCGCCGAAUACUGAGGGACUAGAGUCCGGAAGAGGAGAGUGGAAUUCCCGGUGUAGCGGUGAAAUGCGCAGAUAUCGGGAAGAACACCCCGUGGCGAAGGCGGCUCUCUGGGCCGAAACUGACGCUGAGGAGCGAAAAGCGUGGGGGAGCGAACAGG